AUGGCUGCCUCCAGGAGUCUUCUGGUCCUGCUCUCUAUAGCCCUGCUGGCCCUGACCUCAGCUCAAAGGCUCAAUGAAGAUGAUGGAAGCGCUCUUCAAGAAGAAGAUGCCCUUGAAAUAGGAGACUCCAGCCAACAACAUGGUGAUAUACAUGAAGGGCUAAAUGAAAUAAACAACCAUUUUCAAGAUCAAAUAAGUCAGCAUGGUAAGGAAGCCAUCAAGUUCAAGAAAGGGAAGAAUGGCCCACGUGGUAGACGAAGCUCUGAUCCAGGAUCACCAGAGUGGACAUGA
rnacentral:lncRNA from 1 species